rnacentral:misc_RNA from 1 species
GCACGAAGAACACAUUAUCGUCCUUCCACACACACCCGUCCACAUCGACGCAUACACACGCGCACGCACGCGUAUACCACUGUGAGUGUGUGUGGGGGUGGGGGUGGGGAGGAUAUCUGUGCAAAUGUCCUCCCCCUCUCCUCCUCUCCGUCUGUCUUUUUCUCUAUCUGUAUGUGUGUGUGUCUGUGUGUCUACGUUUCUUAUUGCUACUGCUCAGCCUUGUGUGAGCGUGUGGUGGUGCGGUUCCGCCCUCCCCCUAUUCCAGCCACUCCCUGGUAGGACGGCGUCCCUCUUCUUGUUUCUUUGGUUUAUGUGUUCGUCUCCUGGUCACGCACUCACGCGCACAUCAUUUUUGUUUUUCCAUCGACUUCCCUAGUUUGCUGGCUCGCCUAAACGCGUCCGUUGGCCUGCUGUCGUCGCCGUCGUCAGCAACCGCUUUAAACCGGCCCGCGGGAAGCAGAUGCGGGGAUGACGGGCGAUGGACCGCGCCGGCGGUACUCUCCGUAUCUGAUGUUUUUCCUUCGUUUCUGGGACAGCGCUUGCGUGCGCUUGUGUGGAUAAUGUAAGCGUGUGUCUCCCUCACCUUUUUUGUGUUUUUGUUGUUUAGAUUGGUUUGUGCGGCAUGUUGCUGGCUCUCUUUUCGCCUCCCCCUCCUCCCUCCCUUCCUCCUUUCUUUCCCCACCCCCACACGUGUCCUCUCUUCCCCCUUUUUUUCGCUUCGUGUUGCCUUCACAUUUGGUUGCUCUUGUUCUUCAUGUACAUAGCCGCGCUCUCCUUUUCCUCAUCCUCCUCCCUCCCUCCCUCGCUUUUUUUUUGCAACGGGGCGCCUCUUCUUUCUUCUUUCUUGUAUGGCCUUCAGUGGUGGUGGAGGGAAGGAGGAGGGUAGAGGUAGAGGGGGGUGCCAGUCAUCACCACCCUUUUCCUUAUCUCCGUUCUCGCUUGGGCCUCUCUGUCGUUCCUGCGUUGGGAAGGCAGAGAGUAUAUGCCCCCCCCCUCCCCAGGUGUUUGUGUGUGUGUGUGUGUGUGUGUGUGGUGUCUGUCUGUCUCUCUGUGCCUGUCCGUCGGUCUCUCGUGCAUAUGUCUGCUGUUUUUCGUGCUUGUCUCAUCGUCUUCUGAAAGCUUGCGACAGGAAUGGAACAGGGAGUGCGGAUCGCAAAACGAUGUGGUGAGGAAGAGUGAGUGUGAACGCUCUCUCCGCCAUGCAAAUGACAUGCUUCACCAGGCACUUCUCUUCACCCCGAUUGUGUUCUUCGUCUCGCUUCAGGACUCGAGGAGCUGAGUUGUUGCAAGUAUUUCGUUUUUUCUCUACCCACCCCCUUGGGUGACAGAAAGGGGGGAUACGUAAGUCUACCUAUUCGUGCGCAGUACUACCCCAAUGAUGACUGCCCAAGAGCAGGAUUUUUCUCUGACAGCUGUGCCGGUGUCAGGGGAGGCAUCGAGAGUGCGAGUGGAGGGAUACCAAAUCAGUGUACUCUUCCACAGAAAUAGGGAACUCGCCAGUCAAGAAGCGUUGGGAACGUGGAUUGGAACGCGUCAAACUUUAUGUUUUGAUAUCAUUCUCCCCGCUCAUUUUGUCUCUCGAGGCCAGGCUGAUGUGAGUGUGUGUAUGUGUGUGCGUGUGAUACAUACGCGUCGUGCCAUCGCACGCAAGCCUCAUUCUCCCGUUGCUGUUGUUUUCUGUCUCUCACCCUCCGCCGCCCGUGCGCGGCGACGACGUUAUAUGCGCACGCAUACAUAUAUAUAUAUAUAUAUAUAUAUAUG